GUAAACUACAUAGCUCAGUCGGUAGAGCAUGAGACUCUCAAUCUCAAGGUCAUGGGUUUGAGCCCCAUGUUGGCCA